UAACUGACCAUAUAAGCAUGGGUUUACUCCUAGAAAGAAAGAACUGUGUAUUCUUAAGAGUGAAAGAGGAUAUGAAGAAAAUGUUCUGACAUUUACUUUAGGAACAGAAUUUACACACCACUGGAUCACAGAAGUAACUUUUUGCAUCUACAUUCUCUGCAUUGCAAAGACCUAGCCUAUUUUCAGUGCAUCACUUCCACACUCCUCACGCCACCCUUAGACUCAUCAGAUUUGUAAAACUUUCUCUUCUCUUUCUCAUCUGAGAGCAGGUGGACCAAGACAGCACUUUGGAAGCUCAAUGAGUGAUUUCUCCUGAGAGAGACACAUCUCUCUAGUCUGCCAACGAAUGAAAAAUCAGACAAUCGCAUACAUCAUUUUGAAUGUUGCCAAAUAAAUUCCACCCAAUGC